AUUACCAGGAUCUAUUAUUUACUCCAUCAAUCCUAAAGCUCUCUCCGGUAUCAACACUUACAAGGAUUGCUCUCAAGGUAUGGGAAAGUAUAAGGAUUGUGAAUAUAAGCUGCAGGGUUGGGACGGAUACCAAUGUGGGUUCUGCGGAGCCGAAUUCAAAACUAGAAACAAAAUGACCCAACACCAGAUUGCGUACCAUAUGGCGGAAUUGACGAUGCAAAGUUGUAAACUUGUGCCGGAUACCAGGACGCGGCAAGAAUCACCACGAAUCACCUGAGCCGAACGAUUGUGAUAAUUUAAUUAAAUAGUUUUUCAGUUUUAAAUGAAGACAUUCCGAAAAAUGCUUCUCCACAGAAUUUCUUCUGGAAUUUUGUGUAGCUUAAGACUUCCACUUCCUGUACAUCCUUUAAAUCAUCUCUGGAUUGUUCGGUAGGUUGACCCAUCCAUAGUCCCGAAACAAAACCUUCAAGCUUAGUCCUGUUAUUUUCAGGCUUAAUUUUCCCAGAUUAAAUCUUGAAGUUACUCUAAUAAUUACCUAAAAUGGCCAUCCUAGAGUCUGAGUGCUUUUAUUUAAGCUUAAUGAAAUUAUCAUUUAAAGCCUUUAGAAAUAAAAAUUGAUUUAAAAUAUAA